AACGCGAAGAACCUUACCACCCCUCUACAACCCGGUCGUGGCUUCCCGAGAUAUAUUCCUUUCCUUUGGGGGGACCGAUCACAGGUGCUGCAUGGAUGUCGUCCAGUUGUGUCGUGAGAUGUUGGGUUUAGUCCCGCAACGAGCGCCACCCUCGCCCUUAGUUGCCAUCAUUCAGGUGGGCACUUUAAGGGGACCGCCGGGGAUAAACCGGGAGGAAGGUGGGGAUGACGUCAAGUCAUCAUGGCCCUUACGGGAGGGGUUACACACGUGCUACAAUGGUGGUGACAGGGGGCAGCGAGGCGGCGAGGUCGAGCUAAUCUCCAAAAGCCAUCUCAGUUCGGAUUGCACUCUGCAACUCGAGUCGCAUGAAGUUUGGAAUCGCUAGUAAUCGCGGAUCAGCAUG
rnacentral:rRNA from 1 species